rnacentral:lncRNA from 1 species
CCGAGCGCUGGGCGCCAUUUUGAAAAGGAAGAGGUAAUCCCGCGGCGGCUGCUUGGCUGAGGUGUUCGCGGUGGCGGCGCGGCGGCCGCUUCCUUCUCCCGCCGCCGCCUCGGCGCCCGCCCGCCAUGGCAGAGUAAAAGCCGCCCUCAUUCUCCAGGAGAGGAGAACGUAAUGCUGACAGCAGCUGCCAGAGUCGCGAGCCAGAGUUGGACAAGAAAUUGAAGAAAAAUGAACCAAAUUAGGUGGUUCCUGCAACAGAAUGCUGCGCAUUUUCUGCUCUCUACAAAUGGUUUUGAGGCGCCAGAAGAGCCCAGCAGUAGGUCCUUCUCCGAGACUCCCUGUCGGUGAAGAUGCGGGACCUCAACGGGGAGAGCCGGCCCGUCCAGACCGCCAGAGCGCUGGAGCGUGUGCAGAGCUUCUGACUCGGAGCGCACCUGUCCCCAGGUGAGGUCUGGGAGGAGCCUUAACUGCAGCCACCCCUGAGCGGGAAAGGGCAGGAGCAGCAGCAGCACAAUCCCUGCUGGGACGUCGCCACCUGCCUGAGCCUCCAGUUCGCCAUGGCCGGCACGGCCACGCUCUGUAAACCUGUGUGAAAAGUACUACGGGGGGACCUGCACGCCGGACUUCGCACUGCGUCUCAAGCCGUCGGAAUUCAGCCGUUUUAACUGUUGGGUGAUGCCACCUGGACCUUGGUGGUUUAUUUUUAAAGUAGGGUCUUAAAUAACAACGCAGAUUUCCCAAGACCAAAAUCCCAGAGGUGACACACUAAGUGACAGGAACCUCACCCGCAAGCCCAGGUCGCGGUGGCGUCCGGGGGCGGGACAGCGGGCUUCCAGGCUCCCGCGAGGGCAGGGCGCGUUCUGGUUACGGGCGCUGUGGACGGGCAGGAACGAAGCGUCUUGUCGUCCCUGCCUCUGAAUUAACGCGGACGGGGCCUCCUCAGUUCACCUUCAUUUGGGAAUCGAGGGUCACGAGUACAUUUAACUUAAAGCUGGCUCUUGCUGUGCGUUGCCGGAGGCACAGCUUACAGAUCUGACACGGGGAACAGAGUUGCUUAAGUACCCGUCAGCCCUGGUCCCUAAGGAGCAGCAGUUCUGGGAGUUCCCGUCGUGGCACAGCAGUAAUGAACCCAACUGGUAUCCAUGAGGACGCGGGUUCGAUCCCUGGCCUCGCUCAGUGGGCUAAGGAUCGUGAGCUGUGGUGUGGAGCGCAGACGUGGCUCAGAUCCCGCCUUGCUGUGGCUGUGGUGGAGGCUGGCAGCUGCAGCCCCGGUUCAGCCCCUAGCCUGGGAAGCUCCACAUGCCGCGGGUGUGGCCCUAAGGUCAAAAAAAUAAAGGAAAAAAAACUCUAGUAAAAUGGGAUUGAUUGUAUGUAUUUGUUCAACUCUUUUGACCAAAAAGCAUAGUAAAUUUGGAAUGUUUAGCUGGACUUGUAUCGUGUUCGGGACAGCUUCUCCGCCCUUCCCUUGAAGACACACUUCCCACCCACAGGAAACCAGCCUCUGCCUCCGGCGCAGCCUCGCGGGCGUGUGUUCAGGCGGCCGAGUGGCCGCAUGGCCCGGUGGCUCUGCUCUGUCACACAGUUGUGACCCCUCAAUGCCCCUGGUCCCUCCUGAUGAGGGAAACCCUGUGGUUUUCAGAUGUACCGUUUAUUUCUUCCCGUUCUCUCUUUAUGAAACAUCUGUCAUUUUUCUUGUUUUUCUAAAACUUGCCCCUCUUCGCUUGUGUAUCUGUUCCUGAAAGAGAACAUGUGAGCCU